CGGGUGCCGGGGGGGAGCUAUUGGUGGGUGCACACGGCCCGUGAGGAGGGGUGGGCGGGGCCGGCUGAUGGGCGGCGGGGGCAGCCUAUAAGAAGCGAGCGCUCGCCGCGGCAACCAAUGAACGGCGAGGAGGGGGGCGGGACUUUCAUCCCGGAAGUCGCAGGAGGCCAUGGGGGGCCGAGUGAGGCGGCGCACCGGGUCGCUGCUCCGUCCCCGUACGAUGCCGCCCGGGGGGCUUCAUCCUAAAUGGCCCCCGGCUCGACAGCCCCGCAGGACCCGCACGCAGGGAGGAGGAAGCAGCCAGCAAGGAGAGCCGGCGCGCACGGGGGUCGUUUCUCCUCCCCUCGCCGCAGAGGAGCCGCUGCUGGGCGGUGACGCAGCCCGGGAGGAAGGGGACGAGGGGAAGAGAGGCCCUGGGCGCGGGACGUGCGCUGAGCGCAUCUCGAAGGGGAAGAAGCUUCAGGCCCGUGAGGAGACCAUUCAGAAUGAGGUGUACUCGGGACUUCCCGCAUUCCUCUUCUACGUCAAACGCACGCGGUGCCUGCCAGAGAUCACUUUCAAGGUGAAGUGUGCUGUGGGCUUUCUGGGGAGGCCGCACGGUCUGGGGGCACGGGGUCUGCCCGUACCUCGUGGGGAAAGGGGCUGCCAAAUCCCACAGAGGCCGAAUCAGAGCGCGUGCUGUUGCUCUCUCCCCUCUGUGUCAGUCUGGAGCACAACGAGGGGCUGGGGCUGGUUGUCUGCCCUCAGGGGGGGGGAUGAAAUUGGGAAAUGUUUGCCCACAGCUCUGGAAGCGGCCACAAGCGAACAGCCCCCGGGAUGUCAGGAGCGGAAUUGCCCCGUUACGGUGCCUUUG
rnacentral:lncRNA from 1 species